AGACAGCAGUAGCCGCGGUAAUACGGAAGGUCCAGGCGUUAUCCGGAUUUAUUGGGUUUAAAGGGAGUGUAGGCGGUCUGUUAAGCGUGUUGUGAAAUUUAGGUGCUCAACAUCUAACUUGCAGCGCGAACUGGCGGACUUGAGAGCACGCAACGUAUGCGGAAUUCAUGGUGUAGCGGUGAAAUGCUUAGAUAUCAUGACGAACUCCGAUUGCGAAGGCAGCGUACGGGAGUGUUACUGACGCUUAAGCUCGAAGGUGCGGGUAUCGAACAGGAUUAGAUACCCGAGUAGUCCCUGUCUCUUAUAA
rnacentral:rRNA from 1 species